UAUAUAUAUAUAUAUAUAUAUAUAUAUAUAUAUAUUGCUUUUACUAGUUCUAAAGACAUUUUGAAUAACAUAAAUUACUGUUAAAUAACAAUCAAUAUUAAAAUCAUGUUUUUGAGUAUUAUUAUUAUGCUUUUAUGUUGUAAAAUAUUGGUUCAUCAAACACCAUACACUGACAUUUUUUGUUCUGUACCAUUUCAGUACAUUUAAAUAAUCAAAAUCAAUGACAUUUUGAUUGUUAUCGACAAAUGAAGGCACAUAGACUAGCACACAAUCCUGUAAUAUAGUGACAAAAGUGUUAUUACUUUAUAUAAAAUAAACUAAAAGUAUUACUAUAGCACCGGCUGUUUCCAUUUAUAUUUUUAAAAUUUUUUUUAUUUUUUUAAAUGAAAACUUGUUCCCGUAAUAGCUGAAAGAACAUACACACAAAAUGUAUUCCACUGAGUCAAACCGGCCAUUUCACAAUGUGCUAUCGAGUUCAGUUGCACUCUUAACUACUCUCUUUAAACACUGCCAGGCAUCCAGACCUCAGUGCAAGACUUGAGAAUCACAGCUUCCUGAAUGGGGAAUUUCACAAGCCUCCAAAGUGAAACCAUAGAGAAUAAUGGGCUUGUAAGAGUCAUCUCAAGCAGCAGCCUCAGCACACACUGCAAACAAACACCGACGAGAGUGUUACACCUGGCACAUCCCAGAUUCCUGUAGAGGGGUUAUCAUGGUCAGUUUCAUCCUAAUGGCUCUUCCAUGGACUGUUUUUCUUCCAUGGAAUGUCUCCAUCUUUGCCUCCUGUCCAGCUUCUCGAUGACUUCUUAAUUAGAGGCGCAGGUAACACUACCCCCCGAAAUCACAAGACCCUUUGUCCAUGCAACCACUCUAUCCACCUUCAAUCUGUAUAAUCCUGAAAAAUCUUCAGGAUCCGAUCUGUCGUGCUCUGGUGAACAAAGGAGAAAUUGUUCGAGGUGGGACGCCGCUGAACCUGAACUGAAUGAUGGCACGGCUGAAGUAGUGGACCUGAACUGGAGCAGGUAACCGAACCGCAUCGAGCUCCAGAUACAGAACAGGUGUGUGAUCUAAAGAGGAAAAGAUACUCCUAGGUGUUUAGUCCGACUCAUCCGACAGCUUCACUGACAGCUCCAUUUUCUACCUGACUAUGAUGGUUUUCAGACAUUCAGGUCAUUUGAAAUAUGUCUACUUGGCACAGUCAGCUGUUACCUUCAGCUGUUAACCUCAAAGGUUGAGAGAUUAAGUCCACCUUGGGAUGAUGUGAGCAUCUUUUAGGGCUUUGGGCCAGUAAUUGGAGUUUGAAACCCACACUCUUAGAAAAAAGUUUAAGUUCAAGUUGAGUUUUUUGUUUGUUUGUUUUUUAAAUCAUUGAAUGGCACACAAGUGCAUGAAUUAUGAUGCUUUGUACAUUCAAGUGAGACACCUAACCAAAACUAGUAAGUCUAAUAAAUAUCAUGGAAAAAACUCUUUGAAUUUUUAUUUUAUAUAUUUAUUUAAAAUGUAAAGGGUUCUUUGUAUAGUUACAGGAGUUUCACUUUGUGAAAAGGUUUUUGUUUGGAACUUUGAAGGGAUCUACACUGAAGAAAUAAUGCUUAAAUGUUCUACGCGUUACCUUAUUUACUAACUGCUAGUUAAUCGCCGAAUUGGGCCCUUGAUAUUGCCUUUAACCAGAUAUUUCUUGGAUUUAAUCAUACCUGUUUUUCCUCUGGGUUCUCCAGUUUCCUCCCAUCUCCCAAAAACAUGCCCCAUUAGUGGAGAGGUGGAUUGGUUACUCUAAGUUUCCCCUAGGUGAUAAUGGACUGGUGUCCCAUCCUGGGUGUAUUCCCUUCUCACACCCAGAUCAUGGAAUAGAUGGUGAUGACCAGGAUAAAAAGGUUGCUGAAGAUGAAUGAAAAAAACGAAUCAUUAUCUGUCAUUUAUUCUUAAUUCAGGUAGAAAUUUACAAUACUAAGGUCACUGUUUUUCCAGAUAAAAGCAUCUCAAAUGUUGUACUAGGGCACUGGAAAUAUAGUCUUGUAGAUGUUUCACCCUAAUAAAGCUUCCUUGCCUUGAGGACUAUGAGACCACCAAGAACCUAUAAAUCCCUCUAUUCCUCUAACAUGCAGGGCUUUUUUUUUUUUUUUUUUGGCAUUGUACCUGCUGAAAACGCACAACCUUGCAUGCAUCGCAUAUGGUUCCAACCCAAGCACAAUGUCCAGCACCUAUUGAAUGUCCUUGGCUAGUGCUUGGUGUUCAAUAUCCCCUAGUCAUCGUGUUAAAUACCAUACAAAUCAUCUUUCGAACCUCAAACCGCAUGCCCUGGUGGACAGUGGGUGGGUUUAUGGAAAUACAACACAGUUGCAGGUGUACCAGAGGGAUAGAUGCUUGAGGACACACCCCUAUAGGUAGUGAAUGGGUGGGGCCUGGUGGAUAGAUACGCUACAAAAUUGUAGAGCUUGGACACUGUGUACGAGCACUCUGAGGAAAAAGGAAGAGAUGGGACGACAGGGGGUGCUGGCUGCAUCUCUGCUUUUCCUGGUACUCAUGGCCUACAUCUGUGAAGCAGCAUUGCUCAGAAGGUCUACGGCUGCCAAUUUUCUGAGGUCCGGCAGGGAGAAGAGAGCCGCUCGGUGUGUGAACGGUGACUGCAGCUCAGAGAACAGCGAGUCCGAGGAGGCCAACUCCGAUUACGAGCAAGAGAACUCAAAGAUGCUCUUUCCAGGUGGAUCACAAGUAGGGGUGCUCAAGGCCCCUUUCGGAGGUUCCAGGCAGGAAGGUUCAGGUAUGUAGCCCUGAGGCAGAAAUUGUGUGUGUAAAAGUUGAAAGUGAGCCUGAGGCGAACCUGACCAGGAAAGUCCUACGCUUUUGGAUGUAAGGAGCAACACUCAACAUGCAAUACCAACACACACACCAAUGGAUCACACAGCGGGUUGAGAAUAUGUUACUAUAUGUUUAAAAAAAAAAAAGCAUAGCAAACGUAAAGUCUUAUAUACCUAUACAUAUUAAAAACACAGUGACUUUGAACCUAAUAUGCCUAAUUUUACAUUAGAAAUAAUUAAUAUUAUACAUAUUGGUUGGCAUUAUAGCCAGGAUAUGAUUUUUUUUUUCCUGAAGUACAUGGAUAAGAUUCUCUUAAUAAGAACAUUAAUGUAGACAAGGUGCUGCCAAUCUUGGUGCUUUUUGUAAAAAUAAAUAAAUAAAUAAAUAAAUAAAUAAAUAAAUAUAUAAUGCUGCUGAUUUUUCUUUUCCGAUUCAUAUUAACUUGUUUCUCUAGAGUAGGUAUAUGGCUCUAAAGCUACAUAAAUGCAAAAACAACUGGCAUUGUUCACUUUUUUCAGUUUAUAUCUUAUAUACAGUCUUGUCUGGGUCUUGCACCAUGGCAUGAAUUUUGAUAAAUGAUCACAAUACAAUGUACAGUAACCAGAUUUGUAACCAUUUUACAAAACUAAUAUGGGUAAUGUAUCUAUUAUAUUUUAUUCUCUAUUAAUAUCAUCUAAGCUAUUUCAUAUCUCUCCUUCUUAAUGAAUGAAAUAUUAAAAGUGUUCAAUAAAUGUAGUAAAUAUUUCCUCUGGUUUUGAUUUAUUUUUUUCAGUGCACCUGUUCAAUAUGUUAACACAAUUUGUUCUUUCUAAUUUUGUAAGGAUACAGUGCCUUGCAUAA
ensembl:lncRNA